ensembl:snRNA U1 U1 spliceosomal RNA
UUUCUUACCUGGCAGGUGAGAUACUGUAAUCAAGAAGGCGGUUCACCCAGGGCGAGGCUCAGACAUUGCACUCUGGCUGUGCUGACCCCUGCGAAUUACCCAAAUGUGGGAACCUCGACUGCAUAAUUUGGGGCAGUGGUGGCCU